rnacentral:pre_miRNA from 1 species
GUUAUACUCCCUCCGUUCGGAAUUACUUGUCGCAGAAAUGGAUGUAUCUAGACAUAGUUUAGUUCUAGAUACAUUCAUUUUUGAGACAAGUAAUUCCGAACGGAUCUGCGGAGGAGGCC